rnacentral:misc_RNA from 1 species
AUAUAUAUAUAUAUAUAUUUUACAUAAAUUAUGUCUUUACGAAAAAUGAAUUUAACAAAUUAUGAAAAUGCUGCUCUUUAAAUGAAGAAGUUAAUUGAUAGUUGAUUUAGGAGGGCCACUUCACUUUUAUUUGCAUUAAUUGGUAUGACGUGUUGCCAAGCUUUUCCCAUGAAGCAACGAAUAUCACUUGACUGAAGCUUUCAGGUCUUCAAGCCAUGCUAGUUGCACUGGGACCU